CCACUCUGCAUUUCCACUCAGCUGUCUAAUGAAAUGGGUGUUUACUACCAUCGCCUGGACGUUUUUGGAAAUGCUACAGGAUUUUCUGAGGCUCUGAUAUGCUGAUAGUGUACUUCUAGUAAUACUGCCACAUGUUGACUCUACAUGUGCAGUAAAAACAAGAAGAUUUUCUAUUGUCCCUCUAAUUAGUGCUGCAUUAGAUACAAAAGUCUUUCCUGGUGUAGUAGAAACAUGUGUGCUCAGGUGAAUUCAGUAUUUGCUGGUCGCUGCUGAACACACCACUAUAUUGAACUGGGUUGACUCCGCCUAUGGUUGAAGGUAUUUAAAGCACCUGUGACAUCAUGGCUGCCUUUUGUCUUUGCUUCCUGGUUGCCACAUGGGCUCCUCUGUGACUCUGAGACCAAAGAACUACAGACUCUUCACAACCUGCUCAAACUCUUGGUACAGGACCUCACCACACGGGUCAAGAAGGUUUCUGUCUCAUUUCUACUCUGAAGCUCACCUUCUCCUGCUCAAACUGCUGACAAAUGUUUCUGCUGCUCUAAAGGCUGGUCUCCAGAACUUCCUAAAAACUCUCAAAGGCUCUUCUGCUGCAGGUUGCUUUGUAGAACUGUUGCAGAAAACCUCACUAAACCACAUGGAGGGGCCUCAAGAUAGUCGUCCAAAUGAAACCAUACAAAAACCAAACUAGCACAACCCAAACGCUAAAGUCUCCUGCAGCCUACCAGAGAACCUCUGAGAACAGAGAAUCAGGACAGGAACUCUUACCUUCUGGACAAUCAACAUCUGUUCUCAAACAAGAAUACAGAAUGUGUCUGACCAAAAAUCUCUAAAGACUCACUACAGCCAAGACAAAGACACAACUCAGCUGCACCAAAUCCACUAAUCACUGCACACAUUAGCACCAUGUGCUAACUGUGGCUAAAGAACCACAUUUACCAAGACAACUAUCCAGUACAAAGCCCUAAAACACACCAAGAAACACAUUAAAGACGAUUUUACUGCUGGAAGCUACAAGCCGACGCCUAAAGAACAAACUAAAGGAAUGGAGCCAAACCCGGUUCAGUGGUGAAGAGAAGCAGAGGAAAUGUUUGUCUGCAGCUAAAUAAAGCAG
ensembl:lncRNA